rnacentral:rRNA from 1 species
GAUGAACGCUGACAGAAUGCUUAACACAUGCAAGUCAACUUGAAUUUGGGUUUUUAACUUAGGUUUGGGUGGCGGACGGGUGAGUAACGCGUAAAGAACUUGCCUCACAGCUAGGGACAACAUUUGGAAACGAAUGCUAAUACCUAAUAUUAUGAUAAUAGGGCAUCCUAUAAUUAUGAAAGCUAUAAGCGCUGUGAGAGAGCUUUGCGUCCCAUUAGCUAGUUGGAGAGGUAACGGCUCACCAAGGCGAUGAUGGGUAGCCGGCCUGAGAGGGUGAUCGGCCACAAGGGGACUGAGACACGGCCCUUACUCCUACGGGAGGCAGCAGUGGGGAAUAUUGGACAAUGGACCGAGAGUCUGGUCCAGCAAUUCUGUGUGCACGAUGAAGUUUUUCGGAAUGUAAAGUGCUUUCAGUUGGGAAGAAACAAAUGACGGUACCAACAGAAGAAGUGACGGCUAAAUACGUG